GCUCUCCGGGUGACGAGUGGCGGACGGGUGAGUAAUGUCUGGGAAACUGCCCGAUGGAGGGGGAUAACUACUGGAAACGGUAGCUAAUACCGCAUAACGUCGCAAGACCAAAGUGGGGGACCUUCGGGCCUCACACCAUCGGAUGUGCCCAGAUGGGAUUAGCUAGUAGGCGGGGUAAUGGCCCACCUAGGCGACGAUCCCUAGCUGGUCUGAGAGGAUGACCAGCCACACUGGAACUGAGACACGGUCCAGACUCCUACGGGAGGCAGCAGUGGGGAAUAUUGCACAAUGGGCGCAAGCCUGAUGCAGCCAUGCCGCGUGUAUGAAGAAGGCCUUCGGGUUGUAAAGUACUUUCAGCGGGGAGGAAGGCGAUGCGGUUAAUAACCGCGUCGAUUGACGUUACCCGCAGAAGAAGCACCGGCUAACUCCGUGCCAGCAGCCGCGGUAAUACGGAGGGUGCAAGCGUUAAUCGGAAUUACUGGGCGUAAAGCGCACGCAGGCGGUCUGUUAAGUCAGAUGUGAAAUCCCCGGGCUCAACCCGGGAACUGCAUUUGAAACUGGCAGGCUUGAGUCUCGUAGAGGGGGGUAGAAUUCCAGGUGUAGCGGUGAAAUGCGUAGAGAUCUGGAGGAAUACCGGUGGCGAAGGCGGCCCCCUGGACGAAGACUGACGCUCAGGUGCGAAAGC
rnacentral:rRNA from 1 species